rnacentral:rRNA from 1 species
AUUGAACGCUGGCGGCAGGCCUAACACAUGCAAGUCGAACGAGUGGCGGACGGGAGAGUAAUGUCUGGGAAACUGGUUGAUGGAGGGGGAUAACUCCUGGAAACGGUAGCUAAUACCGCAUAACAUCAGAUGGGCCCAGAUGGGAUUAGCUUGUUGGUGGGGUAACGGCUCACCAAGGCGACGAUGCCUAGCUGGGCUGAGAGGAUGACCAGCCACACUGGAACUGAGACACGGUCCAGACUCCUACGGGAGGCAGCAGUGGGGAAUCUUGCGCAAUGGGCGAAAGCCUGAUGCAGCCACGCAGCGUGUGUGAAGAAGGUUUUCGGAUUGUAAAGCUCUUUAAGUUGGGAGGCGUUACCAACACAGUAAGCAACGGCUAACUUCGUGCCAGCAGCCGCGGUAAUAC